CAUUUCAUUUGGGGCCAAUUCAUUUCCUUCAAUUCCUUCUCCUUUUUCCUCAUCAUUCUCUCUCCUCUCUCUCGGAUCUCUUUCUCCCACCAGACCUAUCUCCUUCACUCUUUCUCUCUCACCUUUGUCUUUGUGGAGACCGACCACUACCUUCCCCUACACGCGCCGGCUAGGGAUCUUCAGAGCCCGUCGAAGCUUCGACCACGCGGGCCCAAACCCUCACACGACACCAGAGGCGAACGACGUCACCGGAGGCCAGCUCUUUUCCUCUUCCCUGUGUGCGGCCAAGCCAUUGUAGUGUUUUGAUGAAAUCUUGAGAGUUUGUACACAAGAAACUGUAAGUGCAUUAGUAACUUUUGGUACUAUUUUGACUCAUUGGUCAGUUAGUGCAUGAACACAUUGUUUGAAUGUAUUAUUUCAGGUUGAGAAGCUUGUUAGGGAUGUUCAGGGACCAUCUUUAUCUCUUGUUCAUGACGUUUGAAGCAUUAUGGUAAUUUUCAAGAAUCUUUUGAAUCUGCCAAAACAAUUUCAGCCCCUGCAUCCAAGACCCUUUCGAAAGUGGGUAAAUCCACUUCUAAUGGUGUUUUGAAGCAUGGAAGCAAAGUAGCAUCUUCUGUAUGUUUCCUUAAAUGCUUACUUCUAGUUCUUUUAUAACUUAUAAUUUUGUAAGGAGAUUAUUAUUAUUUUAUUUUAUUUUUUAAUUUUUUUUCGGUUAAUGAUUUUUUAAAGAGAAUUGUUGGUACGAAGGCUUUGAGGUCAGAAUCAAUUAUGUCCGUUCAAGAUAUAGCAGUUCAAUCGCAGGCUUUACUAAAUGUUAAAGAUUCCAGUAAGGUACAACUUAAGCAAGCAAUUUUUGAAUGUCUCUUACUUUUGAAUAUAUUGACAAGUAAUCAUUUGGACUUUACUUAUCUCCAGGAGGAUAGGGAAAGAUUGGUAGUAAGUAGUUUUAAGUUUGAAGACCCACGGAUAGAACAAAUUCAAGACCUUGAGGUUGUGGAUAUAGUAGUUUCUCAGAUUUGUUUAUUUUGUAUGUAAUUUAAUGCAGAAUUUAUUUAACAUACAUGUUUAUGCAGAAUGAUUUGAUGAAGUACUUCAGAGAGGAUUUGCAUAGACGACUUCUAAGCACAUAUUUUAAGAAGAAAAUUGAUGGGCUUGAGAUGCUGCAAAAGGCACUCCCAUCGAUUGGCAAGGAAAUAGUUGAAGUUCUGGAUAUACUGCUGAGGUGGUUUGUUUUACAAUUCUGUAAAUCAAACACAACAUGUUUGUUGAAGGUAUAGUUUAUUUACUU